AGUGAACGCUGGCGGUAGGCUUAACACAUGCAAGUCGAACGGCAGCACAGUAAGAGCUUGCUCUUACGGGUGGCGAGUGGCGGACGGGUGAGGAAUACAUCGGAAUCUACUUUUUCGUGGGGGAUAACGUAGGGAAACUUACGCUAAUACCGCAUACGACCUACGGGUGAAAGCAGGGGAUCUUCGGACCUUGCGCGAUUGAAUGAGCCGAUGUCGGAUUAGCUAGUUGGCGGGGUAAAGGCCCACCAAGGCGACGAACCGUAGCUGGUCUGAGAGGAUGAUCAGCCACACUGGAACUGAGACACGGUCCAGACUCCUACGGGAGGCAGCAGUGGGGAAUAUUGGACAAUGGGCGCAAGCCUGAUCCAGCCAUACCGCGUGGGUGAAGAAGGCCUUCGGGUUGUAAAGCCCUUUUGUUGGGAAAGAAAAGCAGCAGGUUAAUACCCCGCUGUUCUGACGGUACCCAAAGAAUAAGCACCGGCUAACUUCGUG
rnacentral:rRNA from 1 species